UGGUGCUUUAUCAGAGGAUUUUAGAUACUGUUAACAAAAAUAAUUUUCCAAUGAAACUUUUGACUUUCAUUUUGGUAACAAAAUUCAUACCGAAAACUGUUGCAACACUCUAUGAUAUUGUCACAAACGCGAUACCUGAGGUUUCCUACAUGUUGAUCCAUGAAUUUUUCGUGGAUUUUAUGGUGUUGUGUGCUCCGGCGAUGUUUGCAGAUCUGAUCUGUGGCGAAAUAAGUUCCAUCA